rnacentral:lncRNA from 1 species
CUGGUCCUUCCAUAAGAUUCUGUCUAGACCUAAGAGGAGACAUCUGAGGGCAUCACUCUCCCUGCCUGCAUCCCCUACCACACAGAGGAAGACGCUCUGUAGUAGGAAAGAAUAAGGCCAUCACAUGGAGGCAGAGAAGUUACCGGGAGAAAGAGAGAGGCUCAACAUCACUUAAAUCACUGAAUCUGUUGGCCUCUGAGCCAGCGAAUAAAUAGGCUCUCGCCCUGGACUUCCUGGUUAUGCAACCAAUAAAGUUUCUUAGAGCUG